UUAGCUGAAAAUUUGUGUGUGCCCUACAGGAUAUUAAAGCAUUAUUUCCUCCUGACUACAAUCCAUUCUAUGCGGGCUUCGGGAACAGGGACACUGACGAACUCAGUUACAGAAAAAUGGGGAUUCCAAAGGGCAAAAUCUUUAUCAUUAAUCCUAAGGGCGAGGUGGCCAACUGUCAGCAUCGCAUGGAUGUGAAGACAUAUACAUCCUUACAUACACUGGUCAAUGACAUGUUCCCUCCGACUUCAAUGGUUGAGCAGGAAGACUACAAUUCAUGGAAUUACUGGAAAAUGCCGCUCCCUGAUGUUGAGUUGUAGCUCCUGGAAGGAAGACACGACCUGGCUACAGCUUGCUUAGAUUGGGUUACGGAGGCAUUCUCUACCCGCAUUACAUACACCAUUUAUUCCCCAAACAUAUAUAAUCCCGGAAUGAAGGCUAAGAUGCUCAUCAUUUAUAAUUUUUCAUUUUUGCCUUUUUUUUUUUUUAACUUGCCAGCCACGCCACCCUGAUGUAAAAUUGUAAACCAUUCAACUUGUACCCACCCAGAAAGGACAUGGACCAUACAGCUUUCUUAGGAAAUAAAACUUAUUUUGUUAUUUUCACGGAAUGUCAAAGGUCACGCUUUCUUUCUCGCGAUUUCCCAUA